rnacentral:rRNA from 1 species
UAAGGAAUAUUGGGCAAUGGACGCAAGUCUGACCCAGCCAUGCCGCGUGCAGGAUGACGGCCCUAUGGGUUGUAAACUGCUUUUGUACGGGAAAAAACCCCCGAUCGUGAUCGGGGUUGAUGGUACCGUAAGAAUAAGGAUCGGCUAACUCCGUGCCAGCAGCCGCGGUAAUACGGAGGAUCCAAGCGUUAUCCGGAUUUAUUGGGUUUAAAGGGUGCGAAGGCGGAAUUUCUAGUCAGUGGUGAAAUCUUACGGCUCAACUGUAAAACUGCCAUUGAUACUGUUAUUCUUGAGUAUAUUUGAAGUGGCUGGAAUGUAUCAUGUAGCGGUGAAAUGCUUAGAUAUGAUACAGAACACCGAUUGCGAAGGCAGGUCACUAAACUAUAACUGACGCUCAUGCACGAAAGCGUGGGGAUCAAACAGG